UACGUAGGGUGCGAGCGUUAAUCGGAAUUACUGGGCGUAAAGUGUGCGCAGGCGGCCGAGCAAGUCGAGUGUGAAAGCCCCGGGCUUAACUUGGGAAUUGCGCUCGAAACUACUUGGCUGGAGUGUGGCAGAGGAAGGUGGAAUUCCACGUGUAGCAGUGAAAUGCGUAGAGAUGUGGAGGAACACCGAUGGCGAAGGCAGCCUCCUGGGCCAGCACUGACGCUCAUGCACGAAAGCGUGGGGAGCAAACAGG
rnacentral:rRNA from 1 species